UACGAAGGGGGCUAGCGUUGCUCGGAAUCACUGGGCGUAAAGCGCACGUAGGCGGAUCUUUAAGUCAGGGGUGAAAUCCUGGAGCUCAACUCCAGAACUGCCUUUGAUACUGGGGGUCUCGAGUCCGGAAGAGGUGAGUGGAACUCCGAGUGUAGAGGUGAAAUUCGUAGAUAUUCGGAAGAACACCAGUGGCGAAGGCGGCUCACUGGUCCGGUACUGACGCUGAGGCGCGAAAGCGUGGGGAGCAAACAGG
rnacentral:rRNA from 1 species